CACAAACACGUACCGUACCAUUCACACUCACACGCUCAUCAAUCUCAAAAUGGCUUUUUCUUCAUCAAUCUAAAAUCUCACAAACUCCAUUGAUCUCAAACCUCACAAACUUAAGCUGUAUCGAUUCCCUCACAAACCUAGAAACUCCAUUGAUCAAUCUCACCUCACAAACCUCAUCAAGCUCUGAAUCGAUUCCCUACUGUAUCGAUUUUCAAAUCGAUUUUGUUGUUCGUAUUUUGUUCAAAUUGAUUUAGGGAUCUUCAAAUCGAUUUUGCUCUUAAUCGUUCUCAAGCUCACAAUCGAUUCUGCGUGCAAUUUGGACGUGAUAUUGAAAAGCUAUAUAUUCAAGCUUAAGCUGAAGCGCGCGUGCAUUCUGCCGUCAAAACAAACACAACAUCAAUCUGUAUCGAUUUUGUUCAAACUGUAUCAAUCUCAAUCGUCGCCUUCAUCGACCGUCGGACCGCCGAUCUUCGAACUCGCUCUGGAUCAUUUUCAAUCGCUGUUGCUAAGAAGAUUUGUAUAGAAGUCAAGUCUUCGAAAGAUUUUUUGGAACAGCUCUGGUUGUUGUUCUGUGUCUGUCAUAGUCUACGAGGAUCACGGCAAACCAGCUUUGUUAGAUUUAGCACUCAACCGUGCAUUGAUGGAGAAGAGGAAGAUGAUCUGGUUUUGGCGGAACAUGAUGUGAAGAAAAGUAUAUGAUUGUUCUUGAUAGGGUAGAACCAUAUAAAAACUGUGUCUGUCAGUUUCUGCAUCUUAUAAGUAGUAAAACUCAUUUUGUGUAAUUUGGUGUUGUCUUUAGUUAUAUGAUUUGUCCACAUUGGUGAAUAAUACCUUGAGAAUAUAUUCUGGUGUUGUUUUUAGUUUA